rnacentral:lncRNA from 1 species
GACACACAGAGAGAGGGACAGAUAUAGGCAGAAGGAGAAGUAGGCUCCCCACGGAGAGCCCAAUGCGGAACUCGAUCCCAGGACCCUGGGAUCCUGAUCUGAGCCAAAGGUGGAUGCUCAACUACUGAACCACCGAGGUGCCUCAAUACAGGUGUAUUUAAUGUGAAGCUUAAAUUACAAAGUUUUAAAAGUUUUUAUUAUCAGAAAAAAAUAGAAGUUGAAAAAAAACAACAUCACUAAUUAGAGUAUUGGAAUUUAAAAUUUUCAGCUUUCUUUUAUUUCAGGAAUUGAUACCUUAAGUUCGGGACUUAGAAAUAUAAAUCAUUUUUAUCACACUUUAUCCCCUUUUGUGAUUUUUUUUUUUCUGUAGACUUCUGGUGAUUGACUAGAGCUAGAGGUUUCUAUGACUUCAUCUUUGAGUUAUUUUUGACCUCGAGUAUUCCUUAUUUGGCUCUUGUUUGAGGACAAAUUAUGCAUUUUUUUUAGUAUAUGUGCUGCCAAAGUGAGCACAGACAAAUUAUGUAUUGAUCUUCAUUAAAAAUUAUAUAAAGAUUUAAAAGCAGGUGUGAGAGAGAACUGUAGUGUAGUAUAUGUGUUGGUUAAGGUACCAAACUUAGUCAUAUUUCUAAGUUUAAAUUUUUUUUUAAAUUUUUAUUUAUUUAUGAUAGUCACACAGAGAGAGAGAGAGAGAGAGAGAGAGAGAGAGAGAGGCAGAGACACAGGCAGAGGGAGAAGCAGGCUCUAUGCACCGGGAGCCCGAUGUGGGAUUCGAUUCCAGGUCUCCAGGAUCGCACCCUGGGCCAAAGGCAGGCGCCAAACCGCUGCGCCACCCAGGGAUCCCUAUUUCUAAGUUUAGAUCAUGGAGUCAUUGCUAUAGCUCUUUGCCCUAGUAUACAUUUCUUAAUUUCUCUUUUUACUUCCUCAUCUGUAAACUCCUCAUCUGUGAAUUUAUUAAUAAUAUUUAAUAGAAGUUUCAUAAGGGUUAAAUGAGGUAAUGUUUGCAGGGUUAUAUACUGUCAUUAGCAGAACAGCAUUCUCUUUAUAUUCUAACCUUAAAUUUGUAUUGUUUUCUGAUUUGCUCUAGGUUUGAGGAGCUAUUUUGCAGUCACCAAAUACAUAUGUGUUUGGUAUUAUAAAUCUAUAACCCAAGGAAGUCAACUUUUCAUUUCUGUUUUCUCUUUAGACUUUUACUACUGGCCACUCCUGUUUUUUGUUUUGUUUUGACCUGGGAGAAAGGAGUGAGAGAGGGGGUACCUAUUCCCUUCACAGUCUUAUGUCUUCUUACCCAUAGUAGCAUUACCCCUUGCUUCAGUUUUAUGAAAACCUCUACCACAGGGCUCCUGUAUUAACCUGGUUGUGAGAUGAUUAUGGCCACUUAGGAGCAUCCUAAGAAAGCUAGGCUACUUCUCCUUGUAGAAGAAGGAUCUAUGUCUAAGUUGAGGGAAAUACUGAAUUUUGGAGGAAGUCUCCUGUUCACAUGUUUUGCUGCUAAUUUGGUAAGAUGUCAGUUUUACUUUCCCUGAGCUUUUUUUUUUUUUUUUUUUGGGUGCUUUAUGUCAGUGAAAACUAAGAAGGCCACAGCUCUCCGUAGAGUUUGUAAACUGGAAGUGUUGUACAAUAAAUGACAAAGGAAGAGGAAAGGAAGUGUGAAGCAUAAUUUCUCAAGCUGUUUUAUUAUCUUCUUUGUGUGUGGUGGUGAAGGAACCUCAAAGAGCCUAGUCUAAGGGUACCUGGGUGGCUCAGUUGGUUAAGCAUCUCCCUUCAGCUCAGGUCAUUAUCCCAGGAUCAAGCUGUGUUAGGUUCCCUGCUCAGUGGGGAAUCUGCUACUCCUUCUCUCCCCCUUCCCCUCUCUUCCUCAAAUAAAUAAAUAAAUAAUUUUUUUAAAGCCUAGCCUAAAUCAUCUUUUGGAAAGUAAAGAUUUAGUUGUUGUUAAUGGAAUGAAAGAUUGUGUGAGUAUGACCAUACGCUGAAGUAAAAUGUCAGUUAAAGAAUGAUUUAAAAACAUAAAGGGAAGCAAGGAUACAUUCCAUUCUUUUUUUCUUUUUAAGUUUUUAAUUAUUUUGGUUCUUUAAAAGAGAAAUUAGGAAAUCUUGGUUCUUUCCACCUCCAAAGAACUGAAGUAAUUUAUAAUGGCUGCCCUCUCUCCCUUCCACAUUUACUCCUUCCCUUCCUAUUUUCCACAUAAUUUUUGACAUUUCAGGUUGGUUCUUUUAUAUUUGGUGUUACUGCAUGUUUUGUAGGAAGCAAAUCAUGUUAUUGUGUUCAUGAUAGAAGACUUGUUUUUCUCCUUAAAAUAUCUGUAGCUCUUUCUUAACUAGAUUAAUUGCCUAGUCCAAUAAAUGUUUCAAAGAGAUCCCUAAGAACGAAUUUUUGAAAUUGUCUCAGAACUAAUCAUGGUUCUUUUUGAGAUCAGAGCUAAGAUUUGUUUUAUUUAAAAACAGUAUCUUUUAAAAUUAAAAUAACCUUUUAAAAUAUUUUUACUUUCCUCCAACAUCAGUAGAUCAUCAUGAUGCUUUGUGGUGUCUAAGUGGCCAUUCAGGAAUAAGGGCUUUUAGGGUCAGAGGUUGUUGAAGGAAAACUUUUACAGAAUAUAAUGAGAAGGCAAGCUGUCCCCUAUGGAAGAACACCUUAGUUUAUUGGUGCAAAGGCUGUAUGAUAGAAAUUGUGUUUUUUUGCUGGAAAGACCCAGUUAUGUGUUUAUGAUAGAAUUGCCUGAGUGGGGAAGGGCAGAUUCUGUAAGAAGGGCUUGUGUGUGGGUCACCUGGAUGGCUCAGUUGUUUAAGUGGUUGACUCUUGAUUUCAGCUCGGGUCAUGAUCUAAGGGUUAUAAGACCAAGCCCUUCAUCAGGCUCUGCACUCAGUGUGGAGUCCACUUGAGAUUCUCUCCCUCUCCCUCUGCCCUCCCUCUACUCAUGCUUGCAUACACUUUCUCUAAAAUAAGUAAGCAAAUAAAUAAAAUUUUUAAAAAGGGGAGGGUUGUGUGUAGGAAGAAAAUAAAUUAUCCAUGAGAAAAUUUUUGAGAUUUUAAGUUUUAAUAUGUUUU